rnacentral:rRNA from 1 species
UGCCAGCAGCCGCGGUAAUACGGAAGGGGGCUAGCGUUGUUCGGAAUUACUGGGCGUAAAGCGCGCGUAGGUGGUUUGUUAAGUUGGAUGUGAAAGCCCGGGGCUCAACCUCGGAACUGCAUUCGAUACUCCCGUGCUAGAGUAAUGGAGAGGUAAGUGGAAUUCCUGGUGUAGCAGUGAAAUGCGUGGAUAUCAGGAGGAACAUCAAUGGCGAAGGCAACUUACUGGACAUUUACUGACGCUCAGACACGAAGGCUAGGGUAGCGAAAGGGAUUAGAUA